AAGGUUAAUCCGCUCAGGGUUAGUCGGAGCCUAAGGUGAGGCCGAAAGGCGUAGCCGAUGGACAUACGGUUAAUAUUCCGUAACUGCCUUGUUUUUCGAUGCGGGGACGCAGCGUCGAGCUCCUGGUGAGCAAUGGUUACGAUCCAGGGGGGAGAUGAAGGCCGGAUAGGCAAAUCCGCCGGUCUGACUGCCGGGAAAAGCCGCUAAGGUUAGGAAUGAGGCAUCCGUACCACAAACCGACACAGGUGGACGAGUAGAACAUACUCAGGCGCUCGGGUGAUGGAUUGUUCAGGAACUAGGCAAAUUAGCUCCGUAACUUCGGGAGAAGGAGUGCCCCUGUAAAGGGGGCCGCAGUGAAUAGCGUCAGGCGACUGUUUAACAAAAACACAGGUCUCUGCUAAGUCGAAAACGACGUAUAGGGGCUGACGCCUGCCCGGUGCCGGAAGGUUAAAGGGAGAGGUCAGCGCAAGCGAAGCUUUGAACUGAAGCCCCGGUGAACGGCGGCCGUAACUAUAACGGUCCUAAGGUAGCGAAAUUCCUUGUCGGGUAAGUUCCGACCUGCACGAAUGGCGUAACGAUCUGACGACUGUCUUAACAAUCUGCCCGGCGAACUUGUGGUUCCGGUGAAGACGCCGGAUGCCCGCAUCAAGACGGAAAGACCCCGUGCACCUUUACUAUACCCUAUCAAUGAACUAUGGGGUGCUCUGCGCAGGAUAGGUGGGAGGCUUAGAACCCGGUUUUUUGGAAUCGGGGGAGCCAACGGUGAGAUACCACCCUGAGCAUUCUGUGGUUCUAACUUACUUCCCUAAACGGGAAGAAGGACAUUGGUAGGCGGGUAGUUUGACUGGGGCGGUCGCCUCCUAAAAUGUAACGGAGGCGCUCGAAGCUUGGUUCAGGAGGCUUGGAAAUCCUCCAUCGAGUGCAAAGGCAUAAACCAGGUUGACUGCGAGACCAACAAGUCAAGCAGGUGCGAAAGCAGGACUUAGUGAUCCGGUGGUUCUGAAUGGAAGGGCCAUCGCUCAACGGAUAAAAGGUACGCCGGGGAUAACAGGCUGAUCGGAGUCAAGAGUUCACAUCGACGCUCCGGUUUGGCACCUCGAUGUCGGUUCAUCGCAUCCUGGGGGUGUAGAAGCUCCCAAGGGUUAGGCUGUUCGCCUAUUAAAGCGGUACGUGAACUGGGUUCAGAACGUCGCGAGACAGUUCGGUCCCUAUCUGAUGUGGGCGAAGGAGAUUUGAGGGGGGUUGUCCUUAGUACGAGAGGACCGGGAUGAACAGACCUCUUGUGAUUCUGUCGUCACGCCAGUGGCGCCGCAGAGUAGCGAAGUCUGGUUAGGAUAAGCGCUGAACGCAUAUAAGCGCGAAACCUUCCCCAAGAUGAGAUCUCCCAAGCGAAAGCUAAGAAGGGCCGUGGAAGACGACCACGUUGAUAGGCUGGAUGUGGAAGCGUAGUAAUACGAGAAGCUGACCAGUACUAAUAGCCCGUUCGGCUUGACCAU
rnacentral:rRNA from 1 species